GGUUGUGAUAAAGAGAUAAAACCUAAGUUGAGAUUUGUAAUCAGCGAAUCAGGCAAGUAUCCUACCUUUGCAUUUUCUUUAUGCAAUGGACAUGAGUAAGAAGUUUCAGAAUUAUUCUAUUCCUGUACAGAUUAUGUACGCUUUGAUUAUCAACAUGUUAGCUCAGAUAUAUAUUCUGUUAAGUUGAUUUCUAAAUGGUUAUACAAGUGUCCCCACUUGGAUAAUCAUGGCAUUUAUUCACAUGUUGAUAUACCUUUGUCAAUUACCCGUAUACAUAUAUGUUGAAUUACAUAUUAUUGUUGAGCAAGAUUAAAAACCUUCGGGUUUGGAACCAGGCAUGUAUGAACAUCCCGAUAAUGGGAAAAUUUUUAUGCGCUUCGGCGGACAAAGGGUGAGCGAUGAAUUUCGUUCAAGUUAUGUAGUAUUGAUCAAUACAGGGUACAACGGGGCUGAUCACCCUCCGUGCCCGUAAGUUAUGACGGUUUGCGGAUGAAUUUCUGCUAAACCUUUUCGAAAAUGAAAAACCAUGUUCAUAGUAUGUUUCUUAAACCCUAUUCAUGGGUGGAGCCUAAUUUCAAGAAAUUGAAAGAGAGUUGUUAUGUGAAUCUUUUAUCAGUACAGAUUACUUCACAACUUUUGAUUCGUUGUAGAAGUGUUAUGUAAAGAGAAUACUUAUAUUCUUUCAGCUUAUAUAUAUAAUUGCUAUUACUUGCUGGGCACUCAAAUGCUCAUCCUUGCUUAAACUAAAUGUUUUCAGUUACGUACGAUCGACCUGAAGGCUCAGGCACGAACAAGGGAAAAGAAAAGCUAUUCGAAUGAGAUUUAGUAUGAGUUAAUGGUUAUAGUUAGUAAGACAAUGGAAUCUAUUGUCAGAUAUUGUAAGGAAUGUAUUUGAAGGUCACGUACCUGGGGAAGUAAACUUUGAUGUAUGUAAAUUAAGUUCGAAUGUAUUAUUAUUUAGUAUUAUUCAGCUUAAAGAAAUGGUAUCGUGGAGAACCGAGUUCGGGUUGCAAGUACCUGGAUUUGGGGUCGCCACAG
rnacentral:lncRNA from 1 species